GAUGAACGCUAGCUACAGGCUUAACACAUGCAAGUCGCGGGGCAGCAUGGGGGUUGCUUGCAAUCCCCGAUGGCGACCGGCGCACGGGUGAGUAACGCGUAUCCAACCUGCCCUUCACCACGGGAUAACCCGGCGAAAGUCGGACUAAUACCGUAUGUUGUCCAUCGACGGCAUCCGAUUUGGACGAAAGGUUUGGCGGUGAAGGAUGGGGAUGCGUCCGAUUAGCUGGACGGCGGGGUGACGGCCCACCGUGGCGACGAUCGGUAGGGGUUCUGAGAGGAAGGUCCCCCACACUGGAACUGAGACACGGUCCAGACUCCUACGGGAGGCAGCAGUGAGGAAUAUUGGUCAAUGGGCGUAAGCCUGAACCAGCCAAGUAGCGUGCAGGAUGACGGCCCUAUGGGUUGUAAACUGCUUUUAUGCGGGGAUAAAGUGGCCCACGUGUGGGUUUUUGCAGGUACCGCAUGAAUAAGGACCGGCUAAUUCCGUG
rnacentral:rRNA from 1 species